rnacentral:misc_RNA from 1 species
GAUGAAGAACGUAGCGAAAUGCGAUAAGUAGUGUGAAUUGCAGAAUUCAGUGAAUCAUCGAAUCUUUGAACGCACAUUGCGCCCUUUGGUAUUCUAGUGGGCAUGCCUGUUCGAGCGUCAUUUCAACCCUUAAGCCUCUGUUGCUUAGCGUUGGGAGCCUACCUACCCGGUAGAUCCUCAAAGUUAGCUGGCAGGGUCGAGGUUCGCCCUAAGCGUAGUAGUUCUUUCUCGCUUCUGCGGCUGCCUAGGCCAUCGCCACAAGCCUUUUAAACUUCAAUGGUUGACCUCGGAUCAGGUAGGAAUACCCGCUGAACUUAAGCAUAUCAAUAAGCGGAGGA